UCUGGAUCCUGUUCUAUGUUGAAUCAAUGAUCAGAGUGCAUGUUUCUUCCUCCCCCAACUCUGUGUGACACCGAAGGACUGAUAAGAGAUAAACCUCACCCUAUCUCUGCUUCCCUGACCUCUCUUAAAACCAAACCGAAGCACAGACGGCAAGAUAGGUGUCAGGGUUAUGUCUGUUUUGAGUUGAUUUUUGAUCUGUUUCCCUGUUGUGUUCAUGAAUGUGUUUGUUUUUAAUUAGUCACAUGUUCUCCUUUGUUCCUUGUUUCCCGCCACUUGAUUGUAUCCUAGGUUUCUGAUUUGAUUUGUGUCUUCAUUUCAGGUGUGUCUUGUUAAUUAGUCUAGUUUGCAUCUCUGUUUCCUUUUUUAUAUAAUCCCUUAGUUUCUGUGUAGUCCUUGUCAUGUGUUGAUGUUAUUUUGAUGAUGUAAAACGUACUGCCAAUUUAUGCGAAUUGCUAAUUUAUGGAAAAGAGUGGAAUAUAUCUCAAAAUUUUGCCUUUUGUGUUCCACUGAAGACAGAAAGACAGGCUUAGAACAAAAUGAGGAUCUGUCUGGACCUGCUGACAAUACGGUGAAAGGCAGAAGCUUACCUGCUUAUCACAGCCUGCCAUCAGACCCCUCUUGUCCCUCUGCGCUCUGACUGCUCCCUGCUAACCCGGUGGUCUCUCCAGCAGGAACAACAAAGUUCUUUGCACCGCUGUCCUGUGGCUGAUAAGGUCAGGAGUGAGAGCCUGGGGCCGGAGAGUGGGGCCUGAUGAGUGAGUGCACAGCUCUGCAACAGCUUCACACAACAGCAAACAGGCUUGUAGCUGGCCCCUGUCCAGCUAACAUGGGUGAAGACGCCUGUAGAAAGGGGUGGUCGUUCACACGGCUAAACACACAUACACCUGGUAAAGGUCCAUGGCAGUUCACCUGUGAUGAAGCUGGGUAGAUUACAUACAAAGUCGGGUAGUCGGGUACUGAUUUAAAAUUACAUGACAAAAAGUGUAGUUAAUAACGUAAUCCAUUACAUCACACAUUUAAGGUAUUUUUGAUUACUUUUACAUUACUUUUGACCUAAGGCGUUUAUUACAGUGAUUUGAAUAUGAUA